AACCAGACAAAAACUCUAUUGGGGGUGUGAGGAGUGAAUUAAAAAGCAAAAUACUGGAGAAAUGGAAAAGCUAGGUAGAAAGUACUCGCAAAAUAUAAUAAGUAUCCAGCUUCCGUGUGUGCACACACAAUGAAUUCAAAAUAUCUGAGGGCAUUUACUUGUUUACUUUUGUAGCUCCACCACAAAGUCUGUCCCUGAGGACAGAAUAUAGUUCAGUUGGUAUACUGUAUCUUUGUAACUUGAACAUCAACAGUCUUCAAAAUGUAGGUGGAGAUCUAGACAAAUGGUAAGGGGAAAGGGAAAUUUUUAAGUGGAAAUCAUGAUUCAAGCAGCAAUUUAGGAAGACUGAGGAAAAA
rnacentral:lncRNA from 1 species